UGGAGCGUAGCUCAGUGGCAGAGCAUCGCCUUCACACGGCGAGGGUCGCUGGUUCAACCCCAGUCGCUCCAACCA
rnacentral:tRNA from 1 species